rnacentral:rRNA from 1 species
UACGUAGGGUGCAAGCGUUGUCCGGAAUUAUUGGGCGUAAAGAGCUCGUAGGCGGUUUGUCGCGUCUGCUGUGAAAACUCGGGGCUUAACUCCGGGCCUGCAGUGGGUACGGGCAGACUAGAGUGCGGUAGGGGAGACUGGAAUUCCUGGUGUAGCGGUGAAAUGCGCAGAUAUCAGGAGGAACACCGGUGGCGAAGGCGGCGCUCUGGGCCGGAACUGACGCUGAGGAGCGAAAGCGUGGGUAGCAAACAGGAUUAGA